AUACGGAGGAUCCGAGCGUUAUCCGGAUUUAUUGGGUUUAAAGGGAGCGUAGGUGGAUUGUUAAGUCAGUUGUGAAAGUUUGCGGCUCAACCGUAAAAUUGCAGUUGAAACUGGCAGUCUUGAGUACAGUAGAGGUGGGCGGAAUUCGUGGUGUAGCGGUGAAAUGCUUAGAUAUCACGAAGAACUCCGAUUGCGAAGGCAGCUCACUAGACUGUUACUGACACUGAUGCUCGAAAGUGUGGGUAUCAAACAGGAUUAGAUACCCUGGUAGUCCACACAGUAAACGAUGAAUACUCGCUGUUUGCGAUAUACAGUAAGCGGCCAAGCGAAAGCAUUAAGUAUUCCACCUGGGGAGUACGCCGGCAACGGUGAAACUCAAAGGAAUGGACGGGG
rnacentral:rRNA from 1 species